GACGAACGCUGGCGGCGUGCUUAACACAUGCAAGUCGAACGGAAAGGCCCUGCUUUUUUGGGGUUCUCGAGUGGCGAACGGGUGAGUAACACGUGAGUAACCUGCCCUUGACUUUGGGAUGACUUCAGGAAACUGGGGCUAAUAUCGUAUAGGAUCUCCUGCUGCGGGGUGGGGGGUGGAAAUUUUAGGCGGUUGGGGAUGGACGCGCGGCUGAUCAGCUUGUUGGUGGGGUAGUGGCUUACCCAGGGUUUGACGGGUACCCGGCCUGAGAGGGUGACCGGGCACAAUGGGCCUGAGAUACGGACCAGAGUCCUACGGGAGGCAGCAGUGGGGAAUCUUGCCCAAUGGGAGGAAGCCUGAUGAAGAAACGCCGCGUGCGGGAUGACGGCCUUCGGGUUGUAAAAAGCUUUCGCCUGUGACGAAGCGUGAGUGACGGUAAUGGGUAAAGAAGCACCGGCUAACUACGUG
rnacentral:rRNA from 1 species